rnacentral:misc_RNA from 1 species
CUUUGGAGGCUUAAUCCCCACUCUAAGGAAGAGUUCUGGGUUCAUCAGUGGUAGCUCAAUGGAUUCCCUAAGUUCCCUGAUCUGGUCAGAUAACCCACCGACAGCAGAGUAGCUAACAUUUCCAGGAUCUUCAUGAAGCAUGUUAUACACCACAGGAUCCACCUCACGUGGAAGAGCCCGCAUAAUAGUGAGUGUGGUCAUGUCAAGAACCACACGGGUUCCGGCUGUCAACUUCUCUUUGUCCACCUUACUUCGGCAGCCAACAACAUAUCUUGG